rnacentral:rRNA from 1 species
CCUACGGGGGGCACCAGUGGGGAAUAUUGCACAAUGGGCGCAAGCCUGAUGCAGCCAUGCCGCGUGUAUGAAGAAGGCCUUCGGGUUGUAAAGUAUUUUCAGCGAGGAGGAAGGCGUUAAGGUUAAUGACCUUAGCGAUUGACGUUACUCGCAGAAGAAGCACCGGCUAACUCCGUGCCAGCAGCCGCGGUAAUACGGAGGGUGCAAGCGUUAAUCGGAAUUACUGGGCGUAAAGCGCACGCAGGCGGUCUGUUAAGUCAGAUGUGAAAUCCCCGGGCUCAACCUGGGAACUGCAUUUGAAACUGGCAGGCUAGAGUCUUGUAGAGGGGGGUAGAAUUCCAGGUGUAGCGGUGAAAUGCGUAGAGAUCUGGAGGAAUACCGGUGGCGAAGGCGGCCCCCUGGACAAAGACUGACGCUCAGGUGCGAAAGCGUGGGGAGCAAACAGGAUUAGAUACCCCAGUAGUC